GGCGAGUUUCUUCGGGGCGGAGCUCGACCGCCAACACAGAAGUAAUCGCCUUCAUCGACGCCCAGCGGGGCGAGUUCGGGGUCGAGCCCAUCAUCACCGUCCUGCGCAGUGCAGGCGUGAGGAUGGCCCUG
rfam:Mycobacterium chubuense NBB4 plasmid pMYCCH.01, complete sequence.